GAUGAACGCUAGCGGCAGGCUUAAUACAUGCAAGUCGAACGGUAAGUAUUUUAGCAAUAAGAUACGAGAGUGACGUACGGGUGCGUAACACGUAUGCAACCUGCCUUGUACAGGAGGAUAGCUCGGGGAAACUCGAAUUAACCCUCCAUAAGAUCGUGGUGAGGCAUCUCACAGCGAUAAAAUCUUAGGAGGUACAAGAUGGGCAUGCGUCUGANAGUUAGUUGGUGCGGGUAACGCCCACCAAGACGAUGAUCAGUA
rnacentral:rRNA from 1 species